ACGAACUGAGAUUAUGACCUGAGCCGAAGCCGGAAGCUGGACACUUAACCGACUGAGCCACCCAGGCGCCCCUAGAUAACUAAAUUUCUUAACAGCUUAAGAAAUGUAAUUGCUACCCAAUAGUAUGCCAUUAAUCACCUGAAAAUAAAGACUCUGUACUGGGAAAAUGGUAUUCAUAUGCCAUCUUUCUGUCUUGACUGUCAAAAUUUGUUCAAUAUAAAACUUCCAGAUGAAGCAAUUGUGAGCUUAGGAAAGAAUAGGACAACUGAAUGAACCCUUCUUAUCUCAAAAGAUAGAAUUUAAAAUGGAUUUAAAUAUUCAUGAGAGACAGAGGAGCUGGCAAUGACUUUAAGGAAACCCCCUCCCAAUCUCAGAGGAAGAAUAUGACCUAUGUUUCAUAUUCUCCCUUUCCAAAUUGAGUUUUUUGUAUGUGUACAUAUUUUGAUUUUUUAAAAAGCUGCUAUUCUCAAGACAUGUUAAAGUGUGCUGCUCAUUGGGAGUCUGCCCUAUUCUCUAUUGCCCGCUGUAGUUACUUACUUGCCAAGCAGCAGAUCAAAUGUCUGUUCCAUAACCUUCUGGAUACCAAGUCGAUCUAUGUCUCUCAUGGAAAAAUACUGGAUAUCAUAUUUCUUUAAAAUAAAACUGGAUGAGAUAUAAAAGAAGGAGUCCUGAGUUUAAAGAGCAUUUUUAAUCAAAUCCUUGUUGGGAUGGGAUUGGGGGUGAGUUUGUCUCUAUACGAUAGGUUAAGGCAAGGAACAACCUAUCAAAAGGAACGUAAAUGUCUAAGACAAGCCCAAAGCUUAGCCCCUGUGUAUCAACUUACUGCUCAGGAGGGUCCACAUCUCUUAGACCAAUAUACACAAUACUUGGGGAAGAGACACAAGGUUUGAUCCAAGAAAACCCUGGGAGUUGUGGCACCUGUCAAAGAGGAAUGAACAAGAGUCCUCCAGCAUUCUUGGUCUCACCAAGACAAUCACCAUGUGCUUCUCAAUUUAUGCAGGCUGCUUUCUCCUCCCACCUACAAGAUAUGCUUAAAGCAGCACAAGACACACACGAUCUGGGAACAACUGAUAGAAGUAGAAAUGAUUCAGAGGGCAGGCAGCUAAAGAACAACAGAUUUCCCAGAAUAAAAAAAAUAUUCUCCUAAGGUGGCCACGGUUUCUCAUUAACUUACCUAAAUAACAGGAACACUGCUGAUUAGCCCUUUUCCACCCCUUUGUACAUUACAGAAUUGUUUACAGAAUAGUUCCUGAAACAAAACCCAGUUGCCAUCUUAAGUUGCCUACAGCCAAAACACAAAUUCUGCCUAAUGAAUAACUUUUGUACCAUCCUGGUUAAACUUGGUCCCUCACUGAGAAGAAGGAUAUAUAGGUUCUGGUCUAUGCCUAACAUGGACUCCCAUGUUUUCCGAACAGCCUAGGAAAAUAUUACCUAGAGGUAAUCAUAAUUUUGCUUUCUUCUGGACCAAUGGGUCUGAGUGUGAAGCAGGCCAGGGAACCUCUAACCAGGGAGUCCUCAUGCUGUGGGUAUAUCAUUAGAAUUACUACCCACGGCCACUUUCCUUUCUUGCAAGAUUAUGACACGCCCUCCCCUCCCCCCUCCCCCAGAGCAGGGACCAUAUCCUAGUCCUCUUUAUAUCCCUAGCAUCUAGUAGACUGCCUGGCCCAUAAUAAUGUUUGAUGAACAAAUGAAGGAAUACUAAACAUUUCUACCAACACCAUCAGCCCAUCCUUCACAGAAGUCUUAUGGAACUAGUUCCUCAAAGCCCCAGCAUAAUCCAUGCAAGCCAUUUAAUUUUUUCAUUUCAACCCACUGACCUUGUCCUGUAGUUCUCUGAGAAGAAAUGAAACUGGCUGUCCAUGGAGAUUUCCAGAUGAAGUGGUGAGGGGUGUAUUGAUGUCAGCAUGGGCAUCCACCCAGAUCACACAAAGGUCUGGGCAAUGUCGGGCGUGGCCACUAAUGGUACCAAUUGCCAGGCUACAAGAAACAAACAUGAUAAUUGAGGCCCUCUGCUUGGCAAACAUCAACAAUAACAAACAUCCUCAAGUCGGUACAGCUCACACUUUGUCCUCAGGGCAAAGUCAGAGCCCCAGACUACGGCUGGAUUUGGAUGACCAACAGUCCUGGGCCUGUAGUUCCCAAAGAUUAACCUUGAGUGAGUUGGGGAGAAGUGGAAGGUUCCAAAGAUUCAAAACUUGUUGACGGGUUAUCCAUCUAGUUUGACAGAGGUCAUUGCUGCCCCCCAAAUCCCUAAAAUUUGAUAUUAGCCCUGACCCAGAAAAGGAACCUCAAAUAUUUGUUCAAUCAAUGAAAUACAGUUAAGUGGUAUGUUCUAUAUGUAACAAUUCACAAAUAUUUCUUAAUACUUCUUAAGGAAGACCAGGGAGGUCUAAUUAUUAAUUUCAAAGAAUCCAUUAUUUAAGGCAAAAAAAAUACUUAUAUUAACUUUUUAAGAAUAAAAAUUAGCAUUAUAGCUUUUUAGAAAGAUUAUGUGCUACUUCUUCAAAGGAGAAGUCAAAAUUACUAAAGACAUUAAAGCAACAGGGGAACCCAACUAAAGACCUCAUUUAUUAGAUCACUAAAUAAACAUUUAUUUGCGUGUUAUCUUCUGUAUAUUAGCAUGGCAUUCAAGUAUCAGUGUUUUUUGCUUUCCUUGUCCUGGGACUCUGUGUACAUUGGCUAACUGUCCUAUCUUGAUUGUAGGAAUAGAGCUGAUGAAAUCAUGGCUGGAAAGCUGCCCCGCUGCCCAGUAACCAAAGAAUUUGACAUAGAUGGGAAGUGCAGCUUAAGCAUUUUAGGAACUAACUACAGCUGUCUUUCUUGGUCAGGAUAGCAUCCAACAGCAUUUUAAGCUUUUUAAGGAAUAGCAUGGUCUAGUGUGAAAAGUAGUGGAUUAAGUCAGAAUACUGUUUUGUUUUCCAGAAAGUUGUAAUCUAGCAGAAGUCAUCUAGUUUUUCUAGACCAUUUACUUCUCUGUAAGAAAGGGAUAAUAAUCUUGGCUUAAGUCAGAGAUGUCUAAGACCAUAGUUUAUAUCAUAUUGUGUAAAAGGAGCAGGGUGACUUAAAAUGUUCAGUAGCUGGUUAAUAUAUACCCUCCUCCCUUCCUUUCUAGAAUCUUCCAGAUAGCCUUGGUUUUAGCACUGAACACGAAAUUGGGAACAGUGAAAAGGGUUGCAAUGUGGAUAACUACAGAAAAAAGAAAAGCCAAACACUAUGAUAAUCACCUUGAUAAGCAGCUCCCGAAUAGACAACCAGAAGAAAGUCAAUAUAAAUCAAUUUUGAGAGAGAACACUGAGCUAAAAGGAAGAAGGCCUGCCAUCUGGUUGAUUUAACUGAAUCACUAUAGAGAACCUGGACUACUCUCUUAUUCUACCUGAAAUUUUAUUCCUAAUGAGAUCUACCUGCAUUUCCAGUUGUAACAAAGAUUCAACUUCUGUUAAGUUAUCUCAAAAGCUCUCUGUGUACCACAGGAAAGUUGCUAGAUUGACUCUCAAAAGAAAAGUUAAUUGCCUUCAGAGGUCCCUCUAAUUUGAAUCUCACCUCUGCUACUUCCUGGCUGUAGAAGUUGGAUAAAUUAUCUGAUCUAUCCCUCAGUGUGCCUAGCAGAUUAGAUAAGGCUGUAUCUGCUUUGUGGUGUAAUCAUGAAGAUUAAAUGAGAAUAUAUAUGAAGUGCUCAGUACCCUAGUACUUUAAUGCCAUUUUUCUUUCUAUCAUAAACCUUCAUUGCCUGGCUCAGAUAGGACUGCUCUGGCCCAGAAUGAGCUCUUCUUUCUCUGAAAUUCUGUAGAAUUCAAUUUUUUUUCAUCCCAUGUGUAUUUAUUUCAUCUAGUCCUAGUAAAUCACAAUCCCAACAGUCCCUAACACUACUUGAGAACACACCCAGCAGUGCUCAAUAAAGUAUAUGCUGAUUCACUAAGAAGGAUCCUAGAGUCCAUAUUGUGAAGGUAGAGAACAUAUUCACAUGACAACUGGAGAAUCUGAACAUAUUAGCAAAAAUGCUUUAAAAAUUCAGCCUACUAAUGUAUCCUUCCAUUUCUCUCAAAUAGCCAAAAAAAACCCCACAAAAAAACCAAAAAAAACCCCCACCAGUUCAAGAGAGAAGCAUGAAACAUGAACACACAGUGUCUAAAAACUUUGCUUAGUCAAUCUCUGAACGUGUCCUCAUACUACACAAUGUGACCUACAAUGAAACCCAUAGGUGCCUCCAGCAACUCAGGAUUUUAGAUCUUAAGAUACUAUUAUGCACAUCAUACCCUAAAAAUUCUGAAGGGUAUUUUACUUUUAAGUGAGGAAGCAGACAAGCUAACCCAUUGGGCCAAAGUACCGUAUUACCCAGCUCCUCCACCACCCCGAGUCCCAGCUCACCUGUGAUCACCUCCCACUGUGACACAGCUGUAGCCACCUGACACGGCUCUACUAACCACCUCAGCCAGUUCCUGGUUGGCAAGGCCCACUGAGCGAGGAUUCACAAUCAGGUUGUUGUAGAGAUCAUCUUUAGGGACUGGAGUAAAACUCAAAUCUCCAAAAUCUUUUAGGUGGCAGCCUAGGAACAAAUUGGGGAUGAUAAGAUUAGUUGUGUAUGUUAUUCCAACUCUUACUGGCCUGGGCCACAAAUAAGAACUUGUGACAAAGUGCACAUCACACUCAUUUUGCCACAGUAAAACUCAAAAUGUCACAUGACUGCAGCAGGACUGUCACGUGAUUAUCUCAAUCCUCCCAGCAAUCCUGUGAGGUAGAUCCUAUUAGGAAUACCAUUUUGCAGGCAAAAAAGCUGGGUUAUGGGAAAUGAAGCCCAGAAACCUUCACUGACUUACCCUAACAAUCACAAAAUUAGUAGCAAUUAGACCUCAGAUAUCCCAGAGUUACAAAGUGAAAGUAAAAUACCAAUAUGAACCAAUAGGAUUUAAAGAAAACUAAGUACUUUUAGAGCAAAAAUACAUAGAAAUUUUCAUGUCAUAAACUUUUUUUUUAAAUAAAAGGCCAAUCCGAGGACCUUUUAAAGCAUCCUAAAAGUAAGAGAAAGGUCUUUGUUACUUACAAAGAUCCCAGGCAAUGUUUUAAUUCCUUGACAAGAAUUCUUACAACAAUCCUAUUAGAACACUAAAAUCACGCCAUUCUAUAGAGAAAAUGGGAAGUCCCAAAAUCACAGAGCUAAGUGGCAGAAGCAGGACCCAAAUUCAGGCCAUCUGCCCCUGAAACGGAUAUUCUUGACUACACAGUUUCCCGAGGAAUCACUUUUCAUUCCUCCCCUUUAAGAACUGGUUGGCGGAGAUGGAGAGGGAGCAGCGAACCUCUCAGAGUUUCACCUACUGCAGCAUACACCUAAGCCAGCUGCUGGACACAUCCUCCGAGCAGCUGGCUCAGUGAGCGACACAGGCAGUGACCAGCGGCACUCACUCCGGAGCACCUGCAGAGACAACCAGGAGGCACCACCCACAGAGAAGCUGGACACCCACCUGCUGGACAGUGACGUCCUGCGCAAGACGCAUCUCCUGGCCUUCCCCCAGGUGGAUAACAAGCCUGGAUAUCAGCCACUACCUGGGAGCUCUUCCCCACCUACAAGCCCUGAACAUGGGGCCCCAGCGUCGGGGCCACCCGCUCCUCCAGUUUAAUCCCCCUCAAGUAGCCUCUUUGACCAAUAAAAGCACAGACUUCUCUUAAAAAUAUUUUUUGGGGGGAGUGCUCAGUAAGAGGGGCAUGCCAAUCUUGAUCUCGGAGUUAUGGGUUUGAGCCCCAUGUUGGGUGCAAAGAUUACUUAAAAAUAAAAUUUUAGGGACGCC